rnacentral:rRNA from 1 species
GACGAACGCUGGCGGCGUGCUUAACACAUGCAAGUCGAACGGAAAGGCCCUGCUUUUGUGGGGUGCUCGAGUGGCGAACGGGUGAGUAACACGUGAGUAACCUGCCCUUGACUUUGGGAUAACUUCAGGAAACUGGGGCUAAUACCGGAUAGGAGCUCCUGCUGCAUGGUGGGGGUUGAAAGUUUCGGCGGUUGGGGAUGGACUCGCGGCUUAUCAGCUUGUUGGUGGGGUAGUGGCUUACCAAGGCUUUGACGGGUAGCCGGCCUGAGAGGGUGACCGGCCACAUUGGGACUGAGAUACGGCCCAGACUCCUACGGGAGGCAGCAGUGGGGAAUAUUGCACAAUGGGCGGAAGCCUGAGGCAGCAACGCCGCGUGCGGGAUGACGGCCUUCGGGUUGUAAACCGCUUUCGCCUGUGACGAAGCGUGAGUGACGGUAAUGGGUAAAGAAGCACCGGCUAACUACGUG